CCUACGGGAGGCAGCAGUGAGGAAUAUUGGUCAAUGGGCGAGAGCCUGAACCAGCCAAGUCGCGUGAGGGAAGACGGUCCUAUGGAUUGUAAACCUCUUUUGUCGGGGAGCAAAAAGGCCUCGUGAGGCAACAAGUGAGAGUACCCGAAGAAAAAGCAUCGGCUAACUCCGUGCCAGCAGCCGCGGUAAUACGGAGGAUGCGAGCGUUAUCCGGAUGUAUUGGGUUUAAAGGGUGCGUAGGCGGACUGGAAAGUCAGCGGUAAAAUCGAGAGGCUCAACCUCUUGCCGCCGUUGAAACUGUCGGUCUUGAGUGGGCGAGAAGUAUGCGGAAGGCGUGGUGUAGCGGUGAAAUGCAUAGAUAUCACGCAGAACUCCGAUUGCGAAGGCAGCAUACCGGCGCCCGACUGACGCUGAGACACGAAAGCGUGGGUAUCGAACAGGAUUAGAUACCCUAGUAGUC
rnacentral:rRNA from 1 species